rnacentral:rRNA from 1 species
GCAAGUCGAGGGAGAAGCUAAAGCUUGCUUUAGUGGAAACCGGCGCACGGGCUGCGUAACACGUAUGCAACCUACCUCUAACUGGGGAAUAGCCUCCCGAAAGGGAGAUUAAUACCGCAUAAUAUCACGAAAGGGCAUCCUUUUGUGAUCAAACCUCCGGGGGUUAGAGAUGGGCAUGCGUCCGAUUAGCUAGUUGGUGAGGUAACGGCUCACCAAGGCAACGAUCGGUAGGGGGUCUGAGAGGAUGAUCCCCCACACUGGUACUGAGACACGGACCAGACUCCUACGGGAGGCAGCAGUAAGGAAUAUUGGACAAUGGGCGCAAGCCUGAUCCAGCCAUGCCGCGUGCAGGAUGACGGCCCUACGGGUUGUAAACUGCUUUUAUAUAGGAAGAAACCCCCCGACGUGUCGGGGGUUGACGGUACUAUAAGAAUAAGGGUCGGCUAACUCCGUGCCAGCAGCCGCGGUAAUACGGAGGACCCAAGCGUUAUCCGGAUUUAUUGGGUUUAAAGGGUGCGUAGGCGGAUCUGUAAGUCAGUGGUGAAAUCCUGCAGCUUAACUGUAGAACUGCCAUUGAUACUGUAGAUCUUGAGUACGGUUGAGGUGGGCGGAAUGUGUCAUGUAGCGGUGAAAUGCUUAGAUAUGACCCAGAACACCAAUUGCGAAGGCAGCUCGCUAAACCGUCACUGACGCUGAGGCACGAAAGCGUGGGGAGCGAACAGGAUUAGAUACCCUGGUAGUCCACGCCC